rnacentral:lncRNA from 1 species
UGGAAACGAACCGGAAGGUGAGCUCCAACGCUUGCAAAGCCGGCCUGAUAAGAGACUCAUUCUUCCAAUUCGGAAACUCUCUCGAAUCCCAUAGCUUCUUAAGCUCCGACAGCCGGAGGUAGUACUCGUACGCUGAACAUUCAGGCGAAGGAGCGGACGAUAAAUCACCGGCACGAAACGCAGAGGGGAUCGAAACCUGAAGCUUAUUUGAAAAUUUGGGCGACUUUUUGGGCAUAUCAGGUGAGACCAUUUUCGCUGUGCAAUCUAAAUCAACCAUGUUUAGGAAUAGAAGUGAAUGAAAACCGUCGACAACUUGUAUUAUCUGGUUUGCUCUAAUUGAGGAGGCGAAGAGAUGGAGGUAUUUAUAGGGGCAAAAGAGGGUCGAUGAGAAAAGCGUGUGAAAACUGGAAAG